rnacentral:piRNA from 1 species
CUCUAGCCAGAAACAAGUCCUACGUUGGAGG